GAUGAACGCUAGCGAUAGGCUUAACACAUGCAAGUCGAGGGGCAGCAUGGUCUUAGCUUGCUAAGGCUGAUGGCGACCGGGGCACGGGUGCGUAACGCGUAUGCAACUUGCCUCACAGAGGGGGAUAACCCGUCGAAAGACGGACUAAUACCGCGUACACUCUAUGUUGGGCAUCCAAUGUAGAGGAAAUGAAAUUCGCUGUGAGAUAGGCAUGCGUCCCAUUAGCUAGUUGGUGAGGUAACGGCUCACCAAGGCGACGAUGGGUAGGGGAACUGAGAGGUUGAACCCCCACACUGGUACUGAGACACGGACCAGACUCCUACGGGAGGCAGCAGUGAGGAAUAUUGAUCAAUGGGCGAGAGCCUGAACCAGCCAAGUCGCGUGAAGGAUGACUGUCUUAUGGAUUGUAAACUUCUUUUAUACGGGAAUAACAAGAGUCACGUGUGGCUCCCUGCAUGUACCGUAUGAAUAAGCAUCGGCUAACUCCGUG
rnacentral:rRNA from 1 species